rnacentral:lncRNA from 1 species
CUUUAAUAUUCUGUGCUAGAUUCACAGGGCUCUUCUACAGAUGCUAAGCGUUCAAUCCUGAAGGCUCCACUUCAUCAUCAGAACAAGUAUGUAAAGCUCUGAAUUUCAAAGCUGUGCUACCCUCAAACUCCUCUUCCAUGAAUAUUAAGGGACUUCAGAGGGAAAGGAAGAAAUGUUUUACUUAUUUUAGGUGUUUCAUGACAUUUCUAAGGCUUGAAGAAUUCAACACUUUACAGAAAUUCUUCCGGAUCAUCUAUGCCAGAAGUUCAUUCACACCGAGAUUUCAGCCAGCUGCAACAUCCUUGUCUUUCUGGAGUUAUUGUCUGUCUUAUUCAAGUGAAGACCAGAUGUGUGGAUCCUGAUGUCUCUUACACUUGAAUCAUCUCUAUUUGCAUUUUCAAGUGUCACAGAAAAACCUUCUCCUGUUUGAAGGCUUCUCAUUUCAAGCUUUCUUGAUUUCCACACUCAGGACAGAGGAAUGCUGUACCAUCUGCAGGCCUUGGGCACUUUGCCAGUAAAACUGCUGUCUGAAAUAAUUUCCAGCUUCACAUUGAAUUUUUCACAGAAAUAUGAG